CCUACGGGAGGCAGCAGUGAGGAAUAUUGGUCAAUGGGCGCGAGCCUGAACCAGCCAAGUCGCGUGAGGGAGGACGGCCCUACGGGUUGUAAACCUCUUUUGCCGGGGAGCAACGGGCGCCACGUGUGGCGCCACUGAGAGUACCCGGAGAAAAAGCAUCGGCUAAAUCCGUGCCAGCAGCCGCGGUAAUACGGAGGAUGCGAGCGUUAUCCGGAUUUAUUGGGUUGAAAGGGUGCGUAUGCGGAUCGUUAAGUCAGUGGUCAAAUUGAGGGGCUCAACCCCUUCCCGCCAUUGAAACCGGCGUUCUUGAGUGGAAGAGAAGUAUGCGGAAUGCGUGGUGUAGCGGUGAAAUGCAUAGAUAUCACGCAGAACCCCGAUUGCGAAGGCAGCAUGCCGGCUUCCGACUGACGCUGAAGCACGAAAGCGUGGGGAUCGAACAGGAUUAGAUACCCCUGUAGUC
rnacentral:rRNA from 1 species